GGGGGUCUCGCUGUGUUGUCCAGGCUGGUCUUAAACUCCUUGCUUCAACAGAUCCUCCCACUCCAGCCUCCCAAAAUGUGAUUACAGGCUGAGUCACCACGCCCAGCAUGGUUUUUUGUUGUUUUUUUUUUUUUUUUUUUUGUAAGCAAUAUUGACAUACAUACUGGAGAUACAAUUCUGUAGCUGGCCUUCUUUUCAGAGUUUAGAAUAAAUGUCUUUCCAUGUCAAGUUUUCACUUACAUCCUUUGUAAUAGUUGCAAAAUAUUCCAUUUUAUAGCUGUAUCUUAAUUGUGGAUUAAGGUUGGAGUGCAGUGGCACUAUCAUGGCUUAGUCCAGCCUCAGCCUUCUAGGUUCAAGCGAUCUUCCCACCUCAGCCUCCCAAGAAGCUAGGACUACAGGGACCCGCCACCCCACCUAGCUAAUUAAAAAAAAAAUUGUAGAGAUGGAGUCUCAGUGUGUAGCCCAGUCUCAAGUGACCCUCCCUCCUUGGCCUCCCAAAGUGCUGAGAUUGCAGGAAGAGUGUCUUCAUCUCUGCAUCCCUAGUGCAACAGAGCAUGAUAAAAAUUCAAUAAAUAUUUAUUGAAGAGUCUUGUUGUCUUUUGGGAAAGGAACUCUAUGGUUACCUUUACUCUAAGUUAAAAACAACAACAACAACAACAACAAAAACACAAAACCCUGAGGCUCAGAAGAUAAAUAUUUGCUGAAGAUCACUGUGCUUAUUAGAUGGGUGUUACUGAUUCUUACCUCAGAGAAGAGAAUGUCAUGGAGACAAAAUGAUCUGCUUAGAGUUCUGCACCCCCCAGCAUGGAGAGCAGAGCGCAAAGAUUUCUUCCGGACUCUCACAUUCCCCUUGGAAUCCAAGAACUGGUCUACUGUCACAACACUUUAGUACCCUCUUCUCCCAAGGAGGCAGCAGAAACUGGGGUAAUCACAACGGUCAACAGCAGCAAAGGCAGCACUUUCU
rnacentral:antisense_RNA from 1 species